AGUCUAGGUCAAAUGGUGCCUGGGCAGAGACUUUUUCUCUCCCUUAGGAUUUUUCACUUUAGUUGUUAUUCAAACUUAGCUGAUGCAAAGACUAUACCACUUUUGGUUUGUACUGGGGGGAAGGGUAAAAAAAAAGGGAGUAUUUUGGUUGUAGGAGGGAACUGCUAAGAGUCAGAAGGAAUCACAUUCUCAUUCCUCUGGUCGGGCAGCUGGGCUCAGAGCUGGCUGGUGCUGACUCAGAGACCAGGACGUGUGGAGGGGGUGAGGCCAUCAACUUAUGGCCCAACGUGCCACCAGGCAAAGGCACGUGGGUGGGCCACCUGUUCCCAAACCUGCUUCCCAGUGAUCAUGCAUACUGUUCUCACCCCCGCAGUGUCCCACCUUCUCAGUACUGCUUUGCAGAGCUGCCUGGCGGUCUUCAUAGCCUGGUUUCACUUCUGAAAACAUGUGUGAAGAAGGAAACAUACACAGGAAUCUGUUCCACAACAUACACAGACACACACACACACUCACUCACACACACACAAUGGCACACACAUGCCACACACACACAUGCUCAUACACACAGACACAGAGACAUACAUAUUCUCUCUCUCUCUCUCUCUCUCUCUCUCUCUCUCUCUCUCUCUCUCUCUCUCUCUGUGUGUGUGUGUGUGUAUGGGGAGGGGGGGUCUGUGCCUGUGCCUGUGUCUGUGUAUGUCUCUGGCUACCUAAUCACCCUGCCUCUUCAAAGGUUCUUGUUAUGAAAACUGACAUCCUAGGCUGUCAGCUUCAUUCACGUUCUGCCUAGAAAGGUUUCCACACUUCAUGACCCAUUUGCUUCAGGACUGCGAAGACACCCCACAUCUGUU
rnacentral:lncRNA from 1 species